CAAUUUUCCCUCUCCAAGGUGUGGGGACUCUGUUCGAUUGGAUAUUCUGUGGUAGAUUAUAAUUUGGCAUAAUUUGAUUUUAGUGUACCAACUACCCAUAGCACUAAUUGGUCGGGUUCCUAAGAAAGCGAGCGAACUGGCUCGCUCCCUCUAGCCAGGAACGAGAACACGGCUUUGAGCUUCCCCCCUUCCAGGAAAACAGAGCAAGCAAAUACCCACCAAGACUUCAAACGAAAAAGGGGCAGCAAAGUCAAAAAAACCCAAACCAUCCUCCGCCCCCCCCCCCUUUCUCCUUCCAAGAAUGAGAACAGGGAGUGAGGGCUCAGGAAAAGAUAUGGAAUCAAUGGGGGUGAUGGGAAGGAGAUUGGUGUUGGUUGCAUCAGAUUUCGUUAUAUCCUUUAUGUGGGUUUGGUCAAGUGUGCUGAUCAAGAUCUUUGUGUACAAUAUCAUGGCCUUUGGAAGGGAUGACGUCCAAGGUGAGAUCUUGAAGCAUGCUCUUGCUGUCAUCAACAUGUUCUUCUUUGCCUUCCUGGCCAAAGCCACCAAAGGUGGGAGCUACAAUCCACUCACCAUCUUCUCUUCUGCUGUCUCUGGCAAUUUCACCCAGUUUCUCUUCGUUCUUUGUGCCAGGAUUCCUGCUCAGGUCUUUGGAUCAGUUAUUGGGGUUAUGCUGAUCCGUGAAGCAUUUCCUGCAAUUGGAAGUGGUCCACGACUCAAUGUGGACAUCCAUCUAGGUGCAUUGACAGAAGGAAUUUUGACAUUUUUCAUUGUAAUUGUGUCACUUGGGCUUGCCAGGAAGAUUCCUGGAAGUUUCUACACGAAAACCUGGAUUUCAAGUCUUGCCAAGCUUACUCUUCACAUACUUGGUUCUGAUCUAACAGGGGGAUGCAUGAAUCCAGCAUCAGUGAUGGGCUGGGCCUACGCUCGUGGGGACCAUAUAACCAAGGAGCAUAUACUUGUUUACUGGCUUGCACCAAUGGAGGCAACUUUGCUUGCUGUUUGGAUGUUCAAAUUGUUAAUGCAGUCACAGGAAAAAGAUAAGGCAAAAAUAAAAGGUGAAAAGUCAGACUGAUAUGUUCUCCAUCGGAAUCUCAGAUGCUUGAAUUUGUCCCUAUUCAUUCUUAUGUGAGGUUUGCUUGUGUCUCUAUUAGUUUGAACUAUGAAGUGAUUGGUUAUGAUGAACAGCAGGAGGUGAGAAAACCUGAAUGAAUAAAGAUGAAAUCAUGUACAUGCGGAAGUUGGGUAACUUCAUACAGGAACUUUGCUUGUGCCAGACCCCGGACGGAAUUGAGCUCAUAUAAAGAAGGAUUGCACGUUAAGUAUAACAGAGUUAUGCCAAUCCUCCUUGAGGGUUGAUAUCUGCAGUUACUAGAUAUUUCAAAUCAGUUGUAUCUAUCAAGAAUUCAAAGUUGGCAUGCUAUAUUUGUUCAGCCGUGAUUCAUAAUGUAGUCAUGCCCUUUCCACGGAGUUUGAAGCAGGUAAAUGCUUCCUUAUUCGAAGAUAAUCAACUGAAUAGAAGUUCUUAGUUUGGAGUGUAUGUAUCAAUUAUUGAGUUCAUUCAUUUAAACAAAGAGGAACAGCAACCAGUCGUGGGUCUAUUUGGUUAGACGUAAAACCUUUCCUUGAUUUUUCUUGGUUCCUCCCAUGUCCUUUUGCU